UAGUUUUGCUUCAGUGUCAAGUCACAAAAAGAUGCUGGGACCAAAGCAGAUGAAUGGUGACUGGAUUGAAUAGUAUCAAAGUUUUCACGAGUUUAUAGAAGGCAAAACUCUAUGCCAAAGACUCCUGCAAAUUCCUCACCAGCCUUCUGAAGCCGAGAUCAUUUCAUCAAUAAAAUUCUAAUAUCUUGUUAAAUAAUCAUCUUAAUUGAAAAUUUUAAGUUCUGUUUUGGUGAAUAAACAACCAUAAUUGAGCUCAUAGUGCUGAAUAUGGAGGAGAGAUAUUUUGCUCAGGGAUUUGAUGUUUCAGUUCUUGGAGAUGGGUGUGAUUUUGGUGAUCCUGGUGAUGUUGGUAUCCAUGUGCCGGAGCGGAGUUUCAGAACAUUUUAAACCUGUCUGCAAGUGAUUUGGUCUCCACUGAGCUUCGGCUCGACAAGAAGAUCGGGAUUCCAUUUGCAAGGAAUGCUCGUUCUUCAUUCGAUGAUUCAUCUGGGUGGAAUUUCUUUGAAUUGAACGAACUUUUCGGUCAGCAUUAGAGAAGUCCUGAAACAACUGUACAAGCUAAUUUUUUUAGUACUAUUCUCUGGCAAAGUAAGCAAGCUUUAGCAAAUUUCUUUCUGAGGUCAUGUGCUCCUUUAUUCUGAUUACCAUAUGCAGUUUCAAACUAUCAUGGCAAUGAGUUGCUACCUCUCAAAGGCGAAUACAUAGCUACAAAAGUGAUGUCAUAUCUCUCCAAGUGCGUUAAGGACUUCGAGACAGCUCAGGUGACUAAGAUGGAGAUUGCCAGAUUUCCAAAAUCCUUGACUCGUUUCUUUCCGGGUAGCUUUCUAAGAGCUUUGCUGGGCUAAUAACAGCAUGUCUCACACUGGACACUGUUUGAUAGGCCUUUUCUGCUUCAUUUAGAAUCAGCUGCAAUCUUUGCUGCGUCAAGUACAAGCUUUCCUUCUAUUUUUUAUCGAUCUUAGCCUACCUUCCUCUCGAAGGUUCAUCCAAAUACAUGACGCGCGGAUUUACACCUUCCCCGAACUUGCAUUUUCAUGGCCGGAGAUUGGAUUAUAACGCGGCACGGAUCAUGGUCACAGGAAAAAUCUUAUGUGACCGGACUCGAAGCUGCCAAUCGGGUGGUAGACUUUCUUGGAGAAGGAAAAUUUGCUUAAAUAAUUCCAGUCAAGGGAGAUGAACCUCUUAUCUAAGCACUCAGUAACCCUUAACAGAAACUUCGAGUUUAGCUCUCAAUUUCCAAUGCCUGAUCAUUUCCUUGCAUCUCAAUAUGCUUUUAUAUAACUUAUAUUAAUCUAAACUCUCUCGUAA